rfam:Streptomyces lincolnensis strain NRRL 2936, complete genome.
UCGAGACAGGGAGGCCGAUGGCCGGGCACGACCGAUAAACUGUUCUCGGACGGUGCCGGGCGCAGCUCCCGAGCCCGUCCGCCCAUGAUCAGCCAGCAGCCGCUGCAACCCCAGGGAG